rnacentral:lncRNA from 1 species
GGAGUGCCCCCAAGGGGGAAGAACCCCACUGCCCAGGUGCAGAGAGAACAUGAUCCUCUGGCAGGUCUCAGUUGCUGCUCCAAGUCGCCCCUGCAGCCAGGUUCCCUGAGCCCUUCCAGAGAUGGUCAGCAGUGGAG